UACGUAGGGGGCAAGCGUUGUCCGGAAUUAUUGGGCGUAAAGAGCGUGUAGGCGGCCAGAUAAGUCCGCUGUGAAAUCUCGAGGCUCAACUUCGAGCUGUCGGUGGAAACUAUCUGGCUAGAGCCCGGAAGAGGAGAAUGGAAUUCCUGGUGUAGCGGUGAAAUGCGCAGAUAUCAGGAAGAACACCCGUGGCGAAGGCGGUUCUCUGGGACGGUACUGACGCUGAGACGCGAAAGCGUGGGGAGCGAACAGG
rnacentral:rRNA from 1 species